UACGAAGGGGGCUAGCGUUGUUCGGAAUUACUGGGCGUAAAGCGCACGUAGGCGGACUAUUAAGUCAGGGGUGAAAUCCCGGGGCUCAACCCCGGGACUGCCUUUGAUACUGGUAGUCUCGAGUCCGGAAGAGGUGAGUGGAAUUCCGAGUGUAGAGGUGAAAUUCGUAGAUAUUCGGAGGAACACCAGUGGCGAAGGCGGCUCACUGGUCCGGUACUGACGCUGAGGAGCGAAAGCGUGGGGAGCGAACAGG
rnacentral:rRNA from 1 species